rnacentral:rRNA from 1 species
CCUACGGGAGGCAGCAGUGGGGAAUAUUGGGCAAUGGGCGCAAGCCUGACCCAGCAACGCCGCGUGAAGGAAGAAGGCUCUCGGGUUGUAAACUUCUUUUAUCAGGGACGAAGCAAGUGACGGUACCUGAUGAAUAAGCCACGGCUAACUACGUGCCAGCAGCCGCGGUAAUACGUAGGUGGCAAGCGUUAUCCGGAUGUACUGGGUGUAAAGGGCGUGUAGGCGGGAAAGCAAGUCAGAUGUGAAAACCCUGGGCUCAACCUGUGGCCUGCAUUUGAAACUGUUUUUCUUGAGUACUGGAGAGGCAGACGGAAUUACUAGUGUAGCGGUGAAAUGCGUAGAUAUUAGGAGGAACACCAGUGGCGAAGGCGGUCUGCUGGACAGCAACUGACGCUGAGGCGCGAAAGCGUGGGGAGCAAACAGGAUUAGAUACCCGGGUAGUC